AGCGAACGUUAGCGGCGGGCCUAACACAUGCAAGUCGAGCGAGAAAGUGGCUUCGGCCAUCAGUAAAGCGGCGGACGGGCGAGUAACACGGAGGUAAUCUUCCCUUGAGCGGGGGACAACGAGCCGAAAGGCUCGCUAAGACCGCCUACGCUUCUCGGGACUCGGCUCCUGGGAAGGAAAGCUAGGCAGCAAUUUCCGGCACUCGAGGAGGAGCCUGCGUCGCAUCAGCUAGUUGGUGGGGUAACGGCCUACCAAGGCGAAGACGGGUAGCUGGUCUGAGAGGAUGAUCAGGCACACUGGGACUGAGACACGGCCCAGACUCCUACGGGAGGCAGCAGUGGGGAAUAUUGGACAAUGGGGGCAACCCUGAUCCAGCCAUGCCGCGUGUGUGAAGAAGGCCUUCGGGUUGUAAAGCACUUUAAGCGGGGAGGAACGUUCGUUGGCUAAUACCCAGCGGAAUUGACGUUACCCGCAGAAUAAGCACCGGCUAACUCCGUGCCAGCAGCCGCCGUAACAC
rnacentral:rRNA from 1 species